UACGGAGGAGGCAAGCGUUAUCCGGAAUUAUUGGGCGUAAAGCGUCCGUAGGUGGUUUAGUAAGUCUGCUGUUAAAGCUCGGGGCUUAACUCCGUAUCGGCAGUGGAAACUACUAGACUAGAGUGUGGUAGGGGUAGAGGGAAUUCCCAGUGUAGCGGUGAAAUGCGUAGAUAUUGGGAAGAACACCGGUGGCGAAGGCGGCCAACUGGACGAAUACUGACGCUGAGACUCGAAAGCGUGGGGAGCAAACAGG
rnacentral:rRNA from 1 species